CAGCUACUUCAUCUCUAGCUUUAAAUUCAUUAGGUACCCCCCUAGGUACUCCAAUGGCAUCUAUGUAAAUGUGGGGGUCAAAACUGCCUUUUACUGGGGUUUCGCGCCUUACUCUGGCUGAUGUAUGUGGAGGGUCGUAUGUGUCAUGAUGAUUAUCAGAAAUAAUAUGAAUGGGCAUGAUAACUUUGGCCAGGGUACACUCACC